rnacentral:RNase_P_RNA from 4 species
AGAGUAGGCGCAGGUGGUUACAGACUAGUUUCGUUGAAACUGGUUUGAGGAAAGUCCGGGCUCCCGAAAGACCAGACUUGCUGGGUAACUCCCAGUGCGAGCGAUCGCGAGGAUAGUGCCACAGAAACAUACCGCCCUUUUUCAGUCAACAGUCAACAGUCAACAGUCAACAGUAAACAGUGAACAGUGAACAAGGGGUGGACGAGUCCGUUUCCUACCUUAUAACUGAUAACUGGUAACUGAUAACUGGUAACUGAUAAAUGGUAACUGAAGAGGGUAAGGGUGCAAAGGUGCGGUAAGAGCGCACCAGCAUGAUCGAGAGAUCAUGGCUCGGUAAACCCCGGUUGGGAGCAAGGUGAAGGAACUACGGUUGGUCUUUUACCAGUUCCGCUCUCAUAAGAUCCGCUAGAGGCGUUUGGUAACAAGCGUCCCAGAUAGAUAACCGCCCUCUUAAAUCUAGAAACGUAAUAUGUUACGUUUCUAUAAAAGAGAACAGAACCCGGCUUACGUUCCGACUCUCUCU